ensembl:antisense_RNA Y71G12B.44 ncRNA
GCCGUAAAUAUAAGGUCUCGAAACGAUAAAUGUUUUUUUAAUACAACUGGGUGUGCGCCUUUAAAAGUAGUACUGUAAUUUGAACUCAGUGGAAAUUUUUUUCGAUUUUUUUUUAUCUUAACAAAUGUAUAUAUUUUUUAAGUAACUAUAGAUUCUUCUUUUUUCCUAAAGGAAAAAUCUAUUUAUUUAUGCAAAAAAAUUCAGCUGAAUUGAAAUUAUAGUACUCUUUAAAGGCACACACCUUUUUGUAUUUAACAAAAAUGUUUCGUGUCGAGAGCCAAUUUUUGUGGAAAAAUCGCAACAUUUCGCCUCUGGGUAAUGGCACGUGGUGUCAGGUUGUCCCAUUGCGGUUUGAUCUACAAAAAAUGCGAGAAUUUUUCGCCCAGAAAAAUGUGACGUCAGCACUUCCCUAACCAUGCAAAAUUAGCUGAGAAGUCAGCGUCUUUUUUCCCGCAUUUUUCGUAGAUCUACGUAGAUCAAACCGAAAUGGGGCACUCUGACACCAUGUGUAAUAUUGAAAAAACCCGUUGGGUCCAAACCAAAAAAGUUCAAGGCCCAGAGAGUUUCUCACGUACCGGAAACCAAUUUCCCACUCUAUUAGAACAUUCUUGUUCUAUUUUUGACUUUCUCGAAAUUCUCAUCUUUGAACCCCCUUACGUUUCCAUAGCUAUCGCACUCUGUGCCGGGCACACUUUAUUCGUAUCGAUUCGUAAUUUGUCGGGCCUCUUCGCAGCUGGUGUAGAGAUCUUUUGAAACCCAUUUAUCUGAUUCUUGCCAUCUGCUGCUGCUGCUGCUGCUAUUACUGCUAUUUCCUUUGUUGUAACCUCGACUGGCGGUGGCGCUGGUUCUUCCACUUUUGGCAGUUGUUGUACCUGCUUUGGUGUUCUGCCACGACUGUAACAAAUUCAAUUUAGUCCUAUAGUUGCCGCCUAGUUGUGUGACCUUGCCCGUCGCAAUCGACUUGAAGUCUUGUGGUAGACGUAGAGAAUGAAGCACGUGACACAACACAUUAAAAGCAUACUUGCAGCUAGGCAAGCGAUGAUUAUUUCCGCUACUGUAGAACCAAAAUUGACUUUCAGUUUCAUGUCUCACCACUUACCAGCCAUCUUAUUCGAGAUCUCCGUAAAUUACAGUAGCAGAUCUACGUAGAUCAAAUUAGAGCGAAAUAGUUGUCGUUAUGUCAGUCAACAAUGUUUCGAGAUUCACUCGCAACAUUUUGUAUGUGUGUUUGUAGACGACGUGAUGGAUCUAAGCCGAUUAUAUCCAACUCUAAACAACAAAUAUAUCUCGUUAUUGUUGUGGUGAAGAUUAUUGAGAACCCGUU